UACGUAGGGCGCAAGCGUUGUCCGGAAUUAUUGGGCGUAAAGAGCUCGUAGGCGGCCUGUUGCGUCCGCUGUGAAAACCCGGGGCUUAACCCCGGGCCUGCAGUGGGUACGGGCAGACUAGAGUGCGGUAGGGGAGACUGGAAUUCCUGGUGUAGCGGUGAAAUGCGCAGAUAUCAGGAGGAACACCGGUGGCGAAGGCGGGUCUCUGGGCCGUAACUGACGCUGAGGAGCGAAAGCGUGGGGAGCGAACAGG
rnacentral:rRNA from 1 species